CAGCAGCUCAAGAAUUUAUGGCAGAAAUGUUUUUACAUGGGCCUUUUAUUUUGUAAUGUUUUGUCGGAAUAAACGAAAGUAAAAGAUAAAAUGUUAGAGGAUAAUUCUAGCACAGAACCUAGUGUCAUUAUAGAUAUAGCUGUUUCAGAAAGUACUAAAGAGGAACUAAAAGAACAUAGUGAUAAAGAAAGGAAAAGUUCAAAUAAAAAAGACUAUGUUGUGUACGAGUAUUAUGGACAGAACAUACCGCCGUCCGUUACAUGGGUACAGUUUUUCGGAACAGAUGACACAGAAGACGCUCGACCUGAAUCAAACACUCCAUUUGAUCCAAAAACCAGGAAUGCCUUUGUACGGCUUGUGUUUAUGAUCGUUUUCGCCAUGAUUCUCGUCACUAUGAUCAUUAAUCUUAUCUUUAGAUUUACACCGCCCUUAGCCAGGCUUUUAACUGGAAAAUCUGGACUUAUUAUAGCGAUCGUAUAAUUGUUUAUUUCGUUUUGACAAUCUCGGUCGCGUCUAAAUGCGCCUGGUAUCCGCCUGGUAACUACAUUAUACUUGUAUCAUCGGUAAUUGUGUUUAGUAUCAUCACAGCGUACUCCACAGUGUAUACAAAGUCUGUAGUAAUUAUAUUGGCCAUCAUCGCAACUCUAAUUGUGGUCUUAAUUUGUUUUUUUAUAGCAUGUUCUUCGUGGGACUUCACGAAGUUUCUUACUUAUAUAUUUGUGGUGGCCACAGCCUUCGCCGCCAUAUCCAUACUCAUUACGGUGGCGAUGUACGCCUUCAAGAUAAAGUUUAAGCCACUGGUUUUGGCUUUGCUUGUCAUCGGCGUUCUUAUCCAGAGUGUCGUCCUCAUAGUACAGCUCCAGUUGACUCUUGGAGGGAAAACAGUGGCGACUGGCGAAGAGUUUUACAUUAUAUGUGCGUUUUCGUUGUACACAUCAAUCAUUUCAAUAUUCUUACAAUUAUUGAGGUUUAUAAAAUUGGUGUCAUAAAGUUUGUAAAGGACUCUACUCACUACACU